AAUUUGUCACAUUCAGUAUUAUUUAUGUAUUAAUUUAUGGUGUCUAACAGAAAAUUUGUGAAGCUCAAUGGAUAAAUUAGGUGUUGCUGGGGGCGUCGUCGGAACUAACACCUUACUGACACAUCAUACAAAUGUCCCUCCAGUUACAUGCACUAGUCAACGUAAAUACAUAUUAUUAUCGAGUUACAAACACUCGUCAAUGUAAAUACAUGACACGUGGUAAUCGUAAAAGCGGUCGCCGUAGUAUUACCAACACUAUUAGGCAAUUAUUGAUAAGUUUCAGAAGCGAGUUGCGAGGGGAUUGCGCGAACGCAGUCCCCACUACCACAAAUUAUGACGUACAGUCUCCUCAGAGGGAGAUGUUAGGCUAGUGCACAUCCCUUGAGUGCAAUGGAAGCCACAAGCCUAGGCCAUGGGCCUUCUUGAUCACCCAUCGACCCCGUCCAGGUAUGUAAUUUUGCACCAGAUGCCUUUCAUUGUAUUUAUAUUCUAGUGCCCACAUCGCUUGUCUAUACUUUCUCAAUGUGGGAUAAAAUUACCAGCACUGCUGCUUGUACUAGCAGAAGCUAUUUUCACUUCUCAAACUAGAGUACAGUGCAAGAUUAUCAUUAUCUAUAUUUUAGUUUUUAUAACGAUUUAUUCAGGAUGAAUUUGGAAGUGUUUCUUCUGAAAUGCGCGAGCUUAAUUGCGGGUGAAGGAAAUUUCUGGUAAUGCAUCGUAGGG
rnacentral:lncRNA from 1 species